GGCCGACAGAAGAUGGCGGAUGAGCAGCGUGCAGGGUUUUCUCCCUGUGGCUCACUCUCUCUUACUGUGCUGGGCGGUUGCUUCCUCUCCUGCUGCCCUUGGGAGUCAGACUCCAGGUUCUUCAGCCUGUGGCCCCUGGGGCUCUCGGGCCUUGGAGGACUGACUAGGAGCACACGGUGGGCCUCUCUGGUUUGGGGGCCUGGGACGUGGCGGAGCCCUGCAGCUUCUGUGCGGCCUGUUCUGGGCGUCGCGUUGAAACGCCAGCCAGUUCCCCAAUCCCCCUGGGAUUACAGGAGUGUUGAAGAAAUGUUGUGACACAUCAGAACACCGCGAAAUACAUGGACACUUUCAAAUCAUGGAAGACUCAAGCCCACCAGGUAUUUUUGAAAAAAGUACUCUGUGAAAAACAGAAACUGCAAGCAAGACAGAUACCAGGAUUAGGGAUCACGGUGACUUCUACCAUCGCUGGAUACUCCCAAAAGGGUUCUCGAGACAGCAGCUGUGUCUGCCCUGCUUUGGCAUUCUUUCCCAGGCAUGGCGACCGGUCAGGAGGGCAUCUUUCUCGGCUCUUCACUGUGAGAACCUUGUGGGAUUCCUGAAGAUGAAACCAUGAACGCGAGGGAGUCUUGCUAAAACUGCAGCAUUCGAGAGGUUUUCACUCAUGCUGGCUCACACUUGUCCUCUAGCAAUUCAUCAAAAUUACCACGUAAGUGUUUCAACAGUUUAUGGCUCAGGUGGCCUCAGCUGUGAUGCUCCAAAUUUGCCUGUUUCUCCAGAUGCAGGGUAGCAGUUUGCUGUUUCUCCUGAGUUCUUUGAUGGAUUCAAGAAAAGUCAUGAUUUUCAGUUUGUUCUGAUUUUUUCUUGUGAGGGCAAAGUAAUGACUAAGCUUUAAUGUGUUUCAGCUAAAACUACAUGUAUUUUAAUAGCAAAAUGAGAUAUAAUUCACAUGUCAUAAAAGUCACCAUUUUUGGGUGCACAACUCAUUGGAUUUUAGUAUAUUCCAGGGUUAUGCAAGAAUAAAUAUUCUCUAAUUUUGGAACAUAUUUAUCUACUCAGAAAGAAACUUUGUGCUCAUUAACAGUUACUUAAUAUUCUCUCUCCCCUAACCUAUGGUAACUACUAGUCGACUUGCUAUAGAUUAGGUUACUUUGGAUAUUUCAUAUAUGUUGAAUCAUAAAAUAUGUGCCUUGGCUUCUUUCACUUACCGUAAUAUUUACAAAAUUCAUUCAUCUUACAAAGUACUUCAUUCUAUUUUUGAUUUUAUGGGUUAAUAAUAUUCUACUGUCUGGCUAUAUACAUGUAUGAAUAAUGUGGCAACAUUUUGUCCAUACACUCAUCAUGUGAUUAGUAUUUGCUUUGUUGUUGUUGUGUGUUUUUUAUUUUUCAGUUAUUAUGAAUAAUGAUUAUGAAUUCAGUUAUUAUGAAUAACUACAAUAAAUAGUUAUGCAUAAGUUUUUGUGAGGCUA
rnacentral:lncRNA from 1 species